CGUUUUGAAGGAGAAGCAAUGGACAUUUUUGAGCUGCUUAUCUAAACUACUAGGUACAUUUUCACAUAAACUAUCCAUUUCCAAUACAUUAAUAUAAACAUUUUCGCACAAACAUAAAGUGCACAUAUACAAUUCAGAUUUGUUCAAGUUGAUCAACUGAUAAAAUGGCCAAUGAUGGCCCUUCAGGUACUUUCUUCACAUACACGAUACCAAGUUUCGUAGAUACAGCAGCCAAUUUUCUCUCCCGGCGUAGUUGAAGUGCGGCACGUUUAAUCAUUCUAGCUUGCACAGUGAGGUUCUCGUUGAUGUAAAUUCGACGAUCCAAAUCCAUCCCGAUGUGUACGAGGUUCAAAUCUCGUUUCAGCAUGUAUUUCGCAUAAAAUUCGUCUCUGAGGCAAGCCAUCGAAAAUUGCAGGAGAAUAAAACAUCGGUCACCAGCAGCCAAGUUGCCAGAGCAUGACUGCGAAGAUUUUCACUGUUGAGAUAUGGUAUGCCAGUAAUGAUCAAUUCCGUCCUAUUCUCAAGCCGAUGGACAUUUUCUACUGUCGAGUCAACCAAGGAUUUGACCGCCUUAAUAUCUGUUUUGAAAGACUGUAACUCAGAUGAACAGUUUGACUUCAAAUCGUCGAUAUCAGCCUUAACUGUAUUGAUUUGCUUUUGGAGAUCUUGUUUUAUAUCGUCUAGUUUGGCAUUUAAGUCAGCUUUCAUGGAGUCAAUUUUUGCGUUAGUUUCAUCGAAUCGCUUGGUUAACAUCUGCAUAGCAAUUUCCAAGACAUCAUCACAACAGUUGAUUGACACCACACAACACAGUUGUAAUAGUCACCGAGUGUAAGUAGUUGUAUGGAACAAACGAUCGCCAACACAGAAGACCACUUGCAAAUGGCGCCAAUUACUCGUUUCUGCUACUUUUAAUGAUUCAUGAAAACUCACAGAUGGGCAAUUUUUGUUUCAAGAUAACACACGACGGACAUCCAGUUAAGUUUAAUAAACGAAUGAAAGGUUCUACUUCAUACUUAAAAACCA